rnacentral:tRNA from 3 species
CAAGGCGUAGCUAUAAGAUAAAGCGCUCAGCUUACACCUGAAAGAUAUCUACACUCAACAGAUCGCCUUGA